GAUCAUGGCUCAGGAUGAACGCUGGCGGCGUGCCUAACACAUGCAAGUCGAACGGAGCAAUUAAGAGGAAGUUUUCGGAUGGAAUCUUGAUUGACUGAGUGGCGGACGGGUGAGUAACGCGUGGAUAACCUGCCUCACACUGGGGGAUAACAGUUAGAAAUGACUGCUAAUACCGCAUAAGCGCACGCUACCGCAUGGUAGUGUGUGAAAAACUCCGGUGGU
rnacentral:rRNA from 1 species